rnacentral:lncRNA from 1 species
CCUGGACCCCUUUCCGCCCUGCCCUGCAGGUGUCCUGACACACAUGUGACCUGGCGUGGCCAGAUUCCACGAGGGUGUUUAAGCGUUAUUUAUUUGCUUUACCGCACAUGUGGACACACAGCCGUCUGCAAGAAUUCCUGGGCUGAGCAGCGCAGCAUAAACACCCUUGAGAUCAUCCAAGUAGUGGCGAGUAUCGGCAGCUCAUUCGUCUUAUUGCUCAGUGGUGUUCCGCGGUGUGGAGGGGCCACGGUUUGCUGAACCGGUCGACUAUCGAGAGGCAUCUGCGCUGUUUCCAAUUUGGAGCUGUUAUGAAUAAAGCUGCUACAGGUUUCCAUGU